rnacentral:rRNA from 1 species
UUGCUAGUAAUGGCAGGUCAGCAUACUGCCGUGAAUACGUUCCCGGGCCUUGUACACACCGCCCGUCACACCAUGAGAGUUGGAAAUACCCGAAGCCUGUGAGCUAACAAACGAGGCAGCAGUCGAAGGUAGAGCCAAUGAUUGGGGUGAAGUCGUAACAAGGUAAC